AGAAAUUGUACACUAGACUAGU
rnacentral:miRNA from 1 species